rnacentral:rRNA from 1 species
GACGAACGCUGGCGGCGUGCUUAAUACAUGCAAGUCGAACGGAAAGGCCCUGCUUUUGUGGCGUGCUCGAGUGGCGAACGGGUGAGUAACACGCGAGUAACCUGCCCUUGUCUUUGGGAUAACUUCAGGAAACUGGGGCUAAUACCGGAUAGGAGCUCCUGCUGCAUGGUGGGGGUUGGAAAGUUUCGGCGGUUGGGGAUGGACUCGCGGCUUAUCAGCUUGUUGGUGGGGUAGUGGCUUACGAAGGCUUUGACGGGUAGCCGGCCUGAGAGGGUGACCGGGCACAAUGGGACUGAGGGACGGACCAGACGCCUACGGUACGCAGCAGGGGAGAAUAUUGCGCAAUGGGCGGAAGCCUGAUACAACAACGUCGCGUGCGGGAUGACGGCCUUCGGGUUGUGAACCACUUUCGACUGUGACGAAGCGGGAGUGACGGUAAUUAAUAAGGAAGCACCGGCUAACUACGUG